GGGCCUGUAGCUCAGUAGGUGAGAGCGCACGCCUGAUAAGCGUGAGGUCGGUGGUUCGAGUCCACUCAGGCCCACCA
rnacentral:tRNA from 1 species